GGAAGGAUCAUUAUAGAAUUGGUAGCUUUGCUACCUUAACUAUACUAUACUGUUCACAUUCCUGUUGCCUCCCCGCCAUGUGGGUGCUUCCGGCUUUUGCGCUAGUUGCACUCGGUGGGGAAAUUUAUUUAAAUCAUAAUUUGUUAAUAUUCUAUAUUUAAAAUAACACAAAUUUAUUUUAAAACUUUCAACAACGGAUCUCUAGGCUCUUGCAUCGAUGAAGAACGCAGCGAAAUGCGAUACGUAGUGUGAAUUGCAGAUUCCAGUGAAUCAUCGAAUCUUUGAACGCACAUUGCACCCGCUGGUAUUCCGGCGGGUAUGCCUGUCUGAGCGUCAGUAUACUCUCAAGCGCAGCUUGGUGUUGGAAGAUGAAUUGCUCCAUGUGAUUCACUUCUUAAACUGAUUGGCAAGUCUACUGUAUAAGCAAGCGUAGUAGAAAUACAAUAGCUUAGUUAUAGAGUAUACUUUGUCAAAAUCAAACUUUUUAAGGUUUGACCUCAGAUCAGGUAAGGAUACCCCCUGAACUUAAGCAUAUCAAUAAGGGGAGGAAAAGAAACCAACAGGGAUUGCCCUAGUAACGGCGAGUGAAGCGGCAAUAGCUCAAAUUUGAAAUCUGACGUCUUAGGCGUCUGAGUUGUAAUUUGUAGAAGCAUGUUCGGGCAGCGGUUUAGUCUAUGUCCUUUGGGACAAGGCGUCAUAGAGGGUGAGAAUCCCGUAUGACUUUUCUCGUAGCCUAUGUGAUCAGCCUUCUAAGAGUCGAGUUGUUUGGGAAUGCAGCUCUAAUUGGGUGGUAAAUUCCAUCUAAAGCUAAAUACUGGCAAGAGACCGAUAGCGCACAAGUAGAGUGAUCGAAAGGUGAAAAGCACUCCGGAAGGAGAGUUAAACAGCACGUGAAAUUGUUGAAAGGGAAGCACUUGAGAGCAGUUCUGAAGCCUUGUCAAUCAACCUUCAUUCUUGUAGGUGCACUUGACUUGGUUUUGGCCAGCAUCAAUUCUAGCAGCGGUAUAAAGACUCUGGGAAUGUGGCUUUCCUCGGAAAGUGUUAUAGCCCAGGGUGCAAUGCUGCUAGCUGGGAUUGAGGACCGCGCUUUGGCUAGGAUGCUGGCAUAAUGAUCUUAAGUGACCCGUCUUGAAACACGGACCAAGGAGUCUAACAUCUAUGCAAGUGUUAGGGCGUAAAAACCCUUGCGCAAAAUGAAAGUGAACGGAGGUGAGAGCCCCUUGAGGGUGCAUCAUCGACCGAUCCUGAUGUCUUCGGAUGGAUUUGAGUAGGAGCAUAGCUGUUGGGACCCGAAAGAUGGUGAACUAUGCCUGUAUAGGGUGAAGCCAGAGGAAACUCUGGUGGAGGCUCGCAGCGGUUCUGACGUGCAAAUCGAUCGUCAAAUAUGGGUAUAGGGGCGAAAGACUAAUCGAACCAUCUAGUAGCUGGUUCCUGC
rnacentral:misc_RNA from 1 species